GAUAGCUCAGUUGCUAAAGCAUCGCAUCGGUAACGCGGAGGUCAUGGGUUCAAAUCCCGUUAAUCU